UUAGAUCGAAAUUUUUUGAUUUCCAAUAAAGUUGUUUUGGGUUAUAUUAAUAUUGAGUAGAUAUUUUUAAACUUUGUUUGCGUUGUGAUAAAUAAAUCGUUAAAAUUUAUAUCUAUUUAAUGGUUAAAAUAUAGUUUAACUUCUUUGGUUUUGAUAUCAUAGAGGUGAAUAUACUAUGUGUUGUUGAAUAUUUUAUGAAUAGGUUAAAAUUACCUAAUUUUUGUGAAAAUGUUAAAAUUUUUAUUAGAGUUUGUGUAGUAGUUAUUUUUAUUUACCAUUUUUAAAAUAGUUUGUGAAAAUUUAUGAUUAAAUAAGUAUUAUUAAUAUUUUGAUUAUUUCUCAAGAAUUGUCCGUCUGUUUAUUAAAAACAUUUCCAUUUUGUAAGUUUAGAUGGUAGUACCUGCCCAGUGUUUGUAUAAAUGGCCGCAGUAUAUUGACUGUGCGAAGGUAGCAUAAUUAAUUGCCUUAUAAUUGAAGGCUUGUUUGAAUG
rnacentral:rRNA from 1 species